rnacentral:rRNA from 1 species
UAGGGAAUAUUGCUUAAUGGGCGCAAGCCUGAAGCAGCAACGCCGCGUGUGCGAUGACGGCCUUCGGGUUGUAAAGCACUUUUCACCGGGAAGAGGAAGGACGGUACCGGUGGAAUAAGCCUCGGCUAACUACGUGCCAGCGGCCGCGGUAAUACGUAGGGUGCGAGCGUUAAUCGGAAUUACUGGGCGUAAAGCGUGCGCAGGCGGUUUUGUAAGACAGAUGUGAAAUCCCCGGGCUUAACCUGGGAACUGCGUUUGUGACUGCAAGGCUGGAGUACGGCAGAGGGGGGUGGAAUUCCACGUGUAGCAGUGAAAUGCGUAGAGAUGUGGAGGAACACCGAUGGCGAAGGCAGCUCCCUGGGUUGACACUGACGCUCAUGCACGAAAGCGUGGGGAGCAAACA